rfam:Deltaproteobacteria bacterium CSP1-8 XT12_C0012, whole genome shotgun sequence.
GCCGACGUAGCUCAACGGUAGAGCAGCUGAUUCGUAAUCAGCAGGUUGCCGGUUCAAUCCCGGCCGUCGGCU